rnacentral:rRNA from 1 species
UUCGGUGGUCAUAGCGAAGAGGACACACCCGUUCCCAUUUCGAACACGGAAGUUAAGCUCUUCAGCGCCGAUGGUACUGCCAGGGUGACUUGGUGGGAGAGUAGGUCACUGCCGAAU